rnacentral:rRNA from 1 species
UACGGAGGGGGCUAGCGUUGUUCGGAAUUACUGGGCGUAAAGCGCGCGUAGGCGGAUCUGCAAGUCGGGGGUGAAACCCCGAGGCUCAACCUCGGAACUGCCUUCGAUACUGCUGGUCUCGAGUCCGGGAGAGGUGAGUGGAAUUCCUAGUGUAGAGGUGAAAUUCGUAGAUAUUAGGAAGAACACCAGUGGCGAAGGCGGCUCACUGGCCCGGUACUGACGCUGAGGCGCGAAAGCGUGGGGAGCAAACAGG